UCCUUCUCAACCUCGGUGAAACAUACUCCUCCUCGUUGGGGCCCUUAAUGAUGGAGCUUGAAGGCUUGUCAGAUUCAACUAGAGAUGACCCUCCAAUUGCCUGUGUGGAGGGUGCAGAUCUGGUUGUAACCGUUCUGGGAGCUGAAUCGAGGAAAAGGACUCGGCAUCUAAGAGGCACUUUGCACAGUGCAGAGACCC